UACGGAGGUGGCAAGCGUUGUUCGGAAUUACUGGGCGUAAAGGGCGCGUAGGCGGCCUUGUAAGUCCUGUGUGAAAUCCCCCGGCUCAACUGGGGAACUGCACAGGAGACUGCUUGGCUUGAGUUCGGGAGAGGGAAGCGGAAUUCCGGGUGUAGCGGUGAAAUGCGUAGAUAUCCGGAGGAACACCGGUGGCGAAGGCGGCUUCCUGGACCGACACUGACGCUGAGGCGCGAAAGCCAGGGGAGCAAACGGG
rnacentral:rRNA from 1 species